rnacentral:rRNA from 1 species
GGCUACCAUGGUGGUAACGGGUAACGGGGAAUUAGGGUUCGAUUCCGGAGAGGGAGCCUGAGAAAACGGGCUACCACAUCCAAGGAAGGCAGCAGGGCGCGCAAAUUACCCCAAUCCCCGACACGGGGGAGGGUAGUGACAAAUAAAAUAACAACACAGGGCUUCUUUUGGGUCUUGUUAUUGGAAAUGAGUACGAUUUAAAUCUCCUAACGAGGAACAAUUGGAGGGGCAAGUCUGGUGCCAGCAAGCCGCGGGUAAUUCCAAGCUCCAAUAGCGUAUAUUAAAAGUUGUUGCAAGUUAAAAAAGCUUCGUAGUUGAAUUUCAGGCCUGGCUGGACGGUCCGCCCUUCGGGUGAGUACUGUCUGUGGUCGGGUCCUACCUUUCUGGCGAAGCGUCAUGGCCUUAACCGGCUGUGGCGGGGAACCAGGACUUUUACUGUGAAAAAAUUAGAGUGUUCAAAGCAGGCAAUCGCUUGGAUACAUUAGCAUGGAAUAAUGGAAUAGGACAAUGGUUCUAUUUGUUGGUUUCUAGGACCGUUGUAAUGAUUAAUAGGGAUAGUUGGGGGCAUUAGUAUUCAAUUGUCAGAGGUGAAAUUCUUGGAUUUAUUGAAGACUAACUACUGCGAAAGCAUUUGCCGAGGAUGUUUUCAUUAAUCAAGAACGAAAGUUAGGGGAUCGAAGACGAUCAGAUACCGUCGUA